rnacentral:rRNA from 1 species
GACGAACGCUGGCGGCGUGCUUAACACAUGCAAGUCGAGCGGUAAGGCCCUUUCGGGGGUACACGAGCGGCGAACGGGUGAGUAACACGUGGGUGACCUGCCCUCAGCUCUGGGAUAAGCCUGGGAAACCGGGUCUAAUACCGGAUAUGACUCCAUGACGCAUGUUGUGGGGUGGAAAGCCUUGUGCGGCUGAGGAUGGGCCCGCGGCCUAUCAGCUUGUUGGUGGGGUGAUGGCCUACCAAGGGCGACGACGGGGUAGCCGGCCUGAGAGGGCGACCGGCCACACUGGGACUGAGACACGGCCCAGACUCCUACGGGAGGCAGCAGUGGGGAAUCUUGCGCAAUGGGCGAAAGCCUGACGCAGCGACGCCGCGUGAGGGAGUGACGG